rnacentral:rRNA from 1 species
GUAGUCCACGCCCUAAACGAUGUCAACUGGUUGUCGGGGAAGCAAUUCCUUGGUAACGAAGCUAACGCGUGAAGUUGACCGCCUGGGGAGUACGGCCGCAAGGUUAAAACUCAAAGGAAUUGACGGGGACCCGCACAAGCGGUGGAUUAUGUGGAUUAAUUCGAUGCAACGCGAAAAACCUUACCUACCCUUGACAUGUACGGAACCCCGCAGAGAUGCGGGGGUGCCCGAAAGGGAACCGUAACACAGGUGCUGCAUGGCUGUCGUCAGCUCGUGUCGUGAGAUGUUGGGUUAAGUCCCGCAACGAGCGCAACCCUCGUCUUUAGUUGCUACCAUUUAGUUGGGCACUCUAAAGAAACUGCCGGUGAUAAGCCGGAGGAAGGUGGGGAUGACGUCAAGUCCUCAUGGCCCUUACGCGCUGGGCUACACACGUGCUACAAUGGCGGUGACAGUGGGCAGCAAACUCGCGAGAGUGAGCAAAUCCCAAAAAGCCGUCUCAGUUCGGAUUGUUCUCUGCAACUCGAGAGCAUGAAGGCGGAAUCGCUAGUAAUCGCGGAUCAGCAUGCCGCGGUGAAUA